AGAGUUUGAUCCUGGCUCAGAACAAACGUUGGCGACGCGUUUUAAGCAUGCAAGUCGUGCGGUAACAGGGGCUUCGGCCUGCUGACGAGCGGCGAACUGGUGAGUAAUACGUAGAUAACCUACCCUACAAAUCGGGAUAGCCUCUGGAAACAGGGAAUAAUACCGGAUACAGUGUAUAGUUGAGAUACUAUACAUAAAAGCUCUUUGCGGGGCGAUGUAGGAGGGGUUUGCGCCCUAUUAGCUUGUUGGUGGGGUAAAGGCCUACCAAGGCGAUGAUAGGUAGCCGGCCUGAGAGGGUGUACGGCCACAUUGGGACUGAGAUACGGCCCAGACUCCUACGGGAGGCAGCAGCUAAGAAUAUUCCGCAAUGGGCGAAAGCCUGACGGAGCGACGUCGCGUGGACGAUGAAGGCCCUCGGGUUGUAAAGUCCUUUCGGCAGGGAAGAAUAAGGUAGUUAGGUAAUGAUCUACCGAUGACGGUACCUGCAGAAGAAGCCCCGGCUAACUACGUGCCAGCAGCCGCGGUAAUACGUAGGGGGCAAACGUUGUUCGGAAUUAUUGGGCGUAAAGCGCGCGUAGGCAGGUAGAUAAGUUAAUGGUAAAAUACUCAGGCUCAACUUGAGAUCUGCCGUUAAUACUGUUUACCUAGAGUUGCACAGAGGCAGUUAGAAUUCCUGGUGUAGGGGUGAAAUCUGUAGAUAUCAGGAGGAAUACCGAUGGCGAAGGCAGACUGCUGGGUGACAACUGACGCUGAGGUGCGAAAGCCAGGGGAGCGAACGGGAUUAGAUACCCCGGUAGUCCUGGCUGUAAACGAUGCACACUAGUUGUUGGAUAUUUUAAUAUAUUCAGUGACGAAGCAAACGCGAUAAGUGUGCCGCCUGGGGAGUAUGCCCGCAAGGGUGAAACUCAAAGGAAUUGACGGGGGCCCGCACAAGCGGUGGAGCAUGUGGUUUAAUUCGAUGUACGCGAAGAAUCUUACCUGGGUUUAAAUGCUGGUGGACAACUUUAGAGAUAAAGUCUCCCUUUUGGGCUGCCAGUAAGGUGCUGCAUGGCUGUCGUCAGCUCGUGUCGUGAGAUGUUGGGUUAAGUCCUGCAACGAGCGCAACCCUCACCCUUUGUUGCUAAACCAGAUUUCGGUCUGGAAGGACUCUUAGGGAACUGCCCCGGUUAACGGGGAGGAAGGUGGGGAUGACGUCAAGUCCUCAUGGCCCUUAUGUCCAGGGCUACACACGUGCUACAAUGGGGUGUACAAAGAGAUGCCAAGCCGCGAGGUGUAGCAAAUCUCAAAAAACAUUCCUCAGUUCGGAUUGCAGUCUGAAACUCGACUGUAUGAAGUUGGAAUCGCUAGUAAUCGCAGAUCAGCAUGCUGCGGUGAAUACGUUCUCGGGCCUUGUACACACCGCCCGUCACACCACCCGAGUUAAGUCUACCCGAAGUCCUGCGC
rnacentral:rRNA from 1 species